rnacentral:rRNA from 1 species
GGAGUCUGGUCCGUGUCUCAGUACCAGUGUGGGGGACCUUCCUCUCAGAACCCCUAAGGAUCGAAGGCUCGGUGGGCCGUUACCCCGCCGACUACCUAAUCCUACGCAUCCCCAUCCCAUGCCGAUAAAAUCUUUCGUGCAAAUCUGAUGCCAUCUUCGCACAACAUAGGGCAUUAAUCCGUCUUUCGGCGGGCUAUCCCUGAGUGAUGGGAAGGUUGGAUACGCGUUACUCACCCGUGCGCCGGUCGCCAUCUAUCAAAGCAAGCUUCGAUAAUGCUGCCCCUCGACUUGCAUGUGUUAAGCCUGUAGCUAGCGUUCAUC